AUCAUCGUCAAAGCUCCUGCUAAGUACGAGAACCAAUCUCUCUACGAAAUCGUCACUUCGGAAGGGAUCUGGAAAGACAAAUCAGUGGUCCAACGCCUGAAGACAAUUUCGGUGAAAGGGGAACACAAGCAGCAAUGUGGCGUCAGCACGCUUCAAAGAUGGGCAAAGAAUCAGGAUGAGGUAACGAUAACCUAUCCAGAAUACACACCACGACCGACUCCAGAAAAUAAGAUGUGUCAGUGAGAUGAGGAUAAAAAAAUGAUAUGAUUCGCGGUUGCGACAGUAACCAAUGGCCCAGCAGCUAUUCAGGAAAUUAGAAAAGUUUUCAAGUUGUUUAUUCUUAAAAAGUAACCCUUAUUGCGAAUGAAAUUUCCUGCAGCUAGUAUAUUAUUAUUUCUAUAUAUGUAACCCUUAUUGGGAACGCAAUUUCCUGCAGUUAUUAUAUUAUUAUAUCUUAAACGUAACCCUUAUUUGGAAUGCAAUUUCCUGCAGUUAUUAUAUUAUUUUAUUUUAAGUGUAAUUGUUAUUUGGAAUGCAAUUUCCUGCACUUAUUAUAUUAUUAUAUUUUAAAUGUAAUUGUUAUUUGAAUGCAAUUUCCUGCAGUUAUUAUAUUAUUAUAUUUUAAAUGUAACUCUUAUAUGGAAUGCA